rnacentral:rRNA from 1 species
AUGAAGGUGUUGCGCGAAUCGACCUGGGACGCUGCUGCCGCACAACGGCGAGCUCAACGAGCCCGACGACGACGGCAAGCAGCGACCUGGAAGGGGAGGAGGGGCAUGCCUGGGCCGCCGCGCUUCCUCGACCGUUGUGACACCCUCCAUGAUGGGCGCCCCAAGAUUCUUCGGCCGCAGGAAGCGUCUGGCGGCAGCGGCGCGUCUCCGGCCAAAUCCGGUCAAAUCCAAUGGAAAAACAGCCCUCCUGCCCGGCCAAGCGACCAAGCCCCAAUAGCAGAACCCAAUGGUCGUCACGCAGCAGAUGCUGUCCAACCAAGUUUGUGUUUCCACAUUGCUUCUUAUGGCAUUGAAAGCGUCUUCAAAGGCUUCCUCUUCCUCAUACUUGUACAUGCAAGCACUGAAAUCAGCAAGUACAUUUGGUCCAUCCUCGUCUUUUUUCUUAUGAGGAACGUGUUGAACAACCAUUUGAAUGAUUCAAAUGUCUCAUCAUAUAAAAGUGCAGCACCAAAAAUGACCAUUUCUCUGAAAUGGUUGAAACCAACAAACACACCGAAGGGUCUGUACUCUUUGUUUGUCCCAAAUGUUGUAUCGAAGGUAACAACAUCACCGAAAUGA